rnacentral:tRNA from 1 species
UCCCUGGUGGCUCAGAUGGUUAAAGCGUCUGCCUGCAAUGCGGGAGACCUGGGUUUGAUCCCUGGGUUGGGAA